rnacentral:lncRNA from 1 species
CUCUGCUGCUGGGCGGCUUUGGUGGACCGCAGUGGCCCAACGCCAGCCUGCCCUACUACAUCCCCGACGGCGUUGCCGGUCUGCCCGGCUACAUCCGCCUUGGCGCCAUCCCCCAGAACACCAACUACCAGCGUCGCCGCUGCGCCACCAUCCUCACCCCGCCGGAUCUGAUGCAGCCGUCCACUUCGUGCCCUCUGUCCCCUCCUCCCUCUCCCUCUCCUCCUCCCAGCCCCCCGCAGCCGCCUUCUCCUCCCCCGGUGCCCCCGUCGCCUCCCUCUCCUCCUCCCUCUCCUCCCAGCCCCGCCAACCCCUCUCCCCCUCCUCCCGCCCCCCCUGCGGCUUUCUGCGGCCUGAACUUCAAGGUCAUCUCGCGCAUCCCCAAGAACGGUGUUGACCGCAACCCUGACUGCUCUCUGCUGGCGACCCUGGUGCAGAGUACGUUCACCCAGGGCGUGCAGCUGCGCAACCCUCCCCAGUUCCGCUGCGGCACGACCGUCAGCGCUACCGAGAUCAGCGCCGUCGCCGACACUCUGACUACGGAGGGUGCUCAGGUUUUCCUGCGCAACAUGGCCGGCAACAUUGGUGCCUUCAACCAGUUCACCUUCCCUGCCCCCGGCGGUCUGGGCCUGAUUUGCGGUGACUACUUCAACGUCACUUCGACUUGCGGCAUGAACACCACCGCGCCCGUGCCCGUGUUCCAGCCUAACGGCACCGUUGUCAACGCCACCUACCCCUUCGUCGUCGGCCCCGACGCCAUCUUCUACCCCCAGUUCGUCCUGCCGUCCUACACCUGCCCUCCUCCCCCUCCCGCCCCCUCUCCGCCGCCCAAGCCCCCGACCCCCUCGCCUCCUCCUCUGCCCCCUCAGCCCAACCCGCCCCCGGCUCCUCCCAGCCCCAACCCGUCGCCUCCUCCCCCUCCUCCGGGCUUCCGCUUCCAGAUGUCAGUCAUCAACGGUGACCAGAACGACGCCAUCAACUGCCCUCGCUACACAUCCUGGAUGAACGCCAUGAUGGACUCGUUCGAGCGGACCAACACCAUCCAGCGCGUGAACCCCAGCGCCCCCUACUGCAGCCGCCCCGCCCAGGAGACGCUGCUGAGCCCCGAGCUGGCCCAGCCCAGCCAGGUCAACUUCCUGUACCAGUACCUGUCGGUGAACAGCACGAUUGGUGUUUUCGUGCGCGAUGGCGGCGUGCCUUGCGGCUCGGCUGUGCGCCUGUACAACCCCGCUGGCGGUGGAUUCUUCACUGACUACCGGUGCUCUCGCGACGUGCCCACCAACCCGGCCGUGGCCGUCCUCGACCUGUGCUGCCCUCUGCCCCCCUCGCCUCCUCCCCCGACUCCCCCGUCGCCUCCUCCUCCCUCGCCUCCUCCCCCCGUCCUCUCGCCUCCUCCCUCGCCUCCUCCUCCCUCGCCUCCUCCCCCGGCUCCUCCCCCGCCGUCGCCUCCUCCGCCGGUGCCCCCUCCCCCGUCGCCUCCCCCCCCCUCGCCUCCUCCCCCCUCUCCUCCCCCGGCUGCCGCCUCUCCCCCGCCCUCUCCCCCUCCUCCCCCUCCUCCCUCGCCUCCUCCCCCUGUUGCCCGGCUGCCCCCCUGGCCUCCGCUGCCUGUCAACAACGUGCCUCCUGCCCCCACUGCCCGGAACACCACCUGGACUGCCCCCGCCGGCACCACUGUCCGCACCUAUGAGAUCUUCGCCCCCUUCAAGGGCACUGGUGGCAGGAACACCGGCGUGUCUGGCCGCACCGUGCAGUUCUGGCUGUGCCCCGCCCUGAAGGCCGCG